rnacentral:lncRNA from 1 species
UGUGUUGAAGGAGCUGGAUACUUUUCCUUUUAAGCAAGAUCACUUCCCAAAGGCAGGUGACCAUCACCUCCCACUCUGAGUUUCAGUACAGUCAGAAUGUCCUGGUCAGAGGGAGUCCAGGGACAAAUCCUGCAUGAACACAAGAACAGGGUAGGGAUCAAAGAAACUUCAGAGCUGCUUGUUCUUGUGUGACACAAGAACAGGAGCCGGUGCCCCAGUGACUGACAAAGGUUUGUGUAGUGAGGAGCUACUGAAUUGCUUGGGUAAUGGGAAAAGGCAAAACACUAAUUUCUUUGAUGGAUUUUUAGAGAUAUUUACAAAUAUUUAGGAAUAGCUUGGAAAGAGAAUUGA